GCAUUAACAGGGUUUAGUUAUUUGAUUCAGUGAUUUAUAAUUGUCUAAAUUGUAAUGCUCUUUUUUUGCUCCUCAUUCUACCAUUACGUUAACUUUUUUUUUUUCUUUUAAUAGGUUAUGAUGGAGGGUGGUCGCAGCAAAGGGUUUGGUUUUGUAUGUUUCUCCUCCCCAGAAGAAGCCACUAAAGCAGUUACAGAAAUGAACGGUAGAAUUGUGGCCACAAAGCCAUUGUAUGUAGCUUUAGCUCAGCGCAAAGAAGAGCGCCAGGCUCACCUCACUAACCAGUAUAUGCAGAGAAUGGCAAGUGUACGAGCUGUGCCCAACCCUGUAAUCAACCCCUACCAGCCAGCACCUCCUUCAGGUUACUUCAUGGCAGCUAUCCCACAGACUCAGAACCGUGCUGCAUACUAUCCUCCUAGCCAAAUUGCUCAACUAAGACCAAGUCCUCGCUGGACUGCUCAGGGUGCCAGACCUCAUCCAUUCCAAAAUAUGCCCGGUGCUAUCCGCCCAGCUGCUCCUAGACCACCAUUUAGUACUAUGAGACCAGCUUCUUCACAGGUUCCACGAGUCAUGUCAACACAGCGUGUUGCUAACACAUCAACACAGACAAUGGGUCCACGUCCUGCAGCUGCAGCUGCUGCAGCUACUCCUGCUGUCCGCACCGUUCCACAGUAUAAAUAUGCUGCAGGAGU
rnacentral:sRNA from 1 species